CUUGAGAUUUACGAUUCAUUCUCAUCUUCUUUGGUAUAUGAAAAAUGAUUGAAUUAGUAAAUGAUGAUGAAGUUGAAAUACCAGAUUUCACAUCUGAAUCUCCAGGUUGUUCUGUUCAUCCAUGUGGUUCUUCUUGUAAUGUUUAUUUUUUGUUUUAUAAUGAUGAUAUGAGGUUUCUUUGUUUAUGGAACCCAUCCAUUAAAGAAUACAAUCAACAUACGAGACAAAUCAAUCGGCUAUUCACAAGUCUAAAUGCGUUUUUAGUCCAAUCAAACCGAACCAAAUAUAGCAAAAAUGAAAUUGGGUCCUGAAAAAGCAUGACUUCUGUCAUAAUCACAACAAGUUAAAUGUUGAAAUCAUGAAGAGACUAGAUGAUCUAUGGAAUGAAGAUAGGAUGUCAGUAUCUUGUGGCAGGGAAAAUUUUGACAAAGUGUCAAGGAUAUAUACAGAAUGGCAUUGAAGAUUAAUUCAAUUUGGGUUGUGGUAUCUAAAGAUAUUCAAAACCAGAUUGGAAAGAUGUUGGGAUGUGUUUGUUUAACCAAAGGCUCCCUUAUUCCUCUGGUAUCUGGAGCAUUAUACGCGUUAGUGUUUGGAUUUGUCUGUGGACCUUGAGAAGAAGAAAGUGAGUGCACUAAACUCCAGGGUAAACUAGCGGAGAUAGAAACUUGGAAGAGUACUGCUGCGAAAGAUGUGGAUGCAACUGAAUAUUGGAGGAAGAAGUUUUCCGGUUUCGAGAGUCGAGUUCUGAGGAUGGAAAAUGAAAAUUCAACAAUGAGAUGUGUUGGUUCGAAUUUGGAGAGCAUAGUCCUGAGGAGUGGAAAGGAAAGUUCAAUAUUGGGAUGUGUAGAAUUGCAUAAUUCUGAAAAGAUAGAAUCCGAAGCGCGGGGUUUGCAGAAUGAAGUUACUCAAAGUGGUGAAAAGCAAAGACAUAAAAAUAACAGGAGCAAACUUAAUGCUGAAACCAGUAGCUGAAAGAGGACGGAUUCUCCUGUGUAUGAUGUUGGAAUCAAUAAACAUCAUGAAUCCGAGUCUGGAUUUCCCAGAUACUAUGCUGUGAAUGUUUCUUCUCGAUUUCUACAUUUAUAUCUUGAUAUGCUUUCUUCAUUUGAAGAGGAAAAACAUUGAAAUUCUAUUGUUGCAUUCUGAUCUAGUAGUGAAAACAACUUCUUCUUUUUUAAGGUAAAAAUAGUAGAAGAAGAAGUUGUAUUCACUAUUCGAUGAGAAUGCGUGUGUGGGAUAAUGAAACCUGGUAAGGAAAUUGAUCAGUUGACUGUUUUAAUUUGAAUGAAGCUUGGAGUUUGGUUCAGCAAAAGGUCGUUCAAGAAGCUUUAAGUUGGCAUCAAGAUACAACUGAGGUUUGCCUAAAUUGUCAUGAAAAGAAUGUUGCAUCAAGCUUUUAUCAAUAUUGGUUGAACUGUUGGUAGUACAAAGAUUAUGAAAGUGGCAACUCAAGUCUUUUCAGUUGCACUAUCAUUCCAGUGUUUGGCUUCAGUCAGCUGGUCUUCCUGGAGCAAUCUUGCAAAUUGAAAUGUUGGUUUCUUAAGAGAAGCUUUUUAUCGAGCUAGAAGCUGCUUGUCCUGAUGCACUGCAAGCCUCCAACUGAAAAUAGUUUCUCUUUGGCAAAAAAAAAAAAAAAUGUGUUAUAUAGUCUUGGUAUAAGAGAUUGACCGCGGAAGAGAUAUUAUGGUUCCUGACAGCAUGGUUUAUGCAGUUUGGAGCUCCCGAGCGCAGAGCACUUUUCUUAUCUGUCCUCUCACAACCAAAACCUGGGUCCAGUUACAUCCCAACACAGGGUGACCUUUUCUGUUCAAGUGCUUGGCAUUUUGAUGUUCAGUGGAAAUUUGCUAGCCUUGUGGAGGUGUAUAAAUCCCUGCAACUGGUAAUGCACGAGUUCUUUAAUGGUAAAUGAAACCUACCCAAAGAUGCUGGUUAUCUACAUGGCAGCUCUUUGUCUUCUGUGGAGUUUACAGUGAGGGCACUGCAGGCAGUUUUGUGACUUCUGAAACCUGCAAAAAACAAAGAGUAAAUAUUUUUAUGUCUUUGUGUUUAGAUUUUAAUCAUAGGAGCACCUUGGUCUUGUAGGAUACAUCUGUCCACCCUUCUUUUAACCUUGAAGAUUGAAAUGAGAAGACGGCACUGCUUUUACGUACAGGCAGGCAGUCAAACACCCUUCCGUUGGUUGGAUGAACUCUGGCUUUUAUGCUUUCUGAAUUUGAUUUUGCUUUUCUGGUCUGGUAGAGGUUUAGAUGGACAGAUUGUAAUGUUUUGAUAUGCUCUGGAUGUUAUACUUUUGCUAAUCUUUUUUGAAUGAUUUUUUAGGGACCA